ensembl:lncRNA
CAAAAUCCUAUUCCAGACAGAUUAAAGCAAAAGAGGGCCAGAAAUGACAUCUCAACUGAAGAACAAAUGGCAAGAGAAAUAUACAUACUCCAUGGACCAAAACAGAUGAUGCUUUUCUCCCCUAAAAACCAUGGACUACCAGCAAUAAGGUUCCAGCAGACAACACUGCCUGUAGUACUAAAGAAGUUACACAACUAUAUCUGAAGCAGAGGUCACUGUGAGAGAGAAGGUGCAGAACCACCCUGUAAACUCCUGGCAUGAAAACACAAGGGAAGACAAGAUGUACCACCAUCCUGCUGGAUGCACAUG